GCAGAAGUAGUUCAGUGGUAGAAUACAACCUUGCCAAGGUUGGGGUCGCGGGUUCGAAUCCCGUCUUCCGCUCCA
rnacentral:tRNA from 1 species